rnacentral:misc_RNA from 1 species
GAAAUGCGAUACGUAAUGUGAAUUGCAGAAUUCAGUGAAUCAUCGAAUCUUUGAACGCACAUUGCGCCUUCUGGUAUUCCGGAAGGCAUGCUUGUUUGAGUAUCAGUAACAACCUCAGCCAAGUUUUUUGUCGCCUCUGGCGCGGAAAGCAACAGCUGGAUUUGAGCAAAUUCCCUUGGGAUUUCAAUCCGUGAGGGAUGCUUGAAAUACAGGUUCGGGCUGACCAAAUGUCCUGGGCUACAAGCAUUUCAUACUUGAUCCCGUUAAACCGGAUCAUUUCCAUUGCUGCAGCCAUCACAAACAGGAUCAAACGUGUCCAGUGUUUCCGACUGAUGCAGGAAGUUGGAGCCAAACACAGAGAGAUCUGUGUGUAGGUUCUUUCUAACUCGAUCUCAAAUCAAGUAAGACUACCCGCUGAACUUAA